rnacentral:lncRNA from 1 species
AAAAAACUAGUAAAAAGAUAAGAAAAGAGAAGAGAAAGACAAUAACAACACUUAAACAAUGCUCGAAAAAAGAUGAAUAGAAGAAAAAAGGAAAACGAGAAAGCAACAAUACCUUAUGAAAAAUGAAAGAAGAAAGCAUGAAAGCAAGAAAACUAAAAAUCAAAAAAGUCUUUAUAGUGUGAAUAAAAACUAUAUCUAAUAAAUAUUUUCAUAAACAAUAUUCCCUCCUUCAUUCAUCCACAAUACUCGCGCAUGAU